rnacentral:rRNA from 1 species
AGAGUUUGAUCCUGGCUCAGGAUGAACGCUGGCGGCGUGCCUAAUACAUGCAAGUCGAACGAGGUGCUUUUGUAGCAAUACGAGAGUAUCCUAGUGGCGAACGGGUGAGUAACGCGUUGGUGACCUACCCCAAAGUGUGGGAUAACAGUCCGAAAGGAUUGCUAAUACCGCAUGUGGUCAUUGGAUUUAGAAACUGAUGACUAAAGGAGCAAUUCGCUUUGGGAGGGACCUGCGUCCCAUCAGCUAGUUGGUGAGGUAAUGGCUCACCAAGGCGACGACGGGUAGGGGACCUGAGAGGGUGGCCCCCCACAAUGGAACUGAAACACGGUCCAUACACCUACGGGUGGCAGCAGUAGGGAAUAUUGCACAAUGGGCGAAAGCCUGAUGCAGCAACGCCGCGUGUGCGAUGAAGGCCUUCGGGUCGUAAAGCACUUUUCUGAGAGAUGAGAAAGGACAGUAUCUCAGGAAUAAGUCUCGGCUAACUACGUGCCAGCAGCCGCGGUAAUAC